rnacentral:rRNA from 1 species
UACGUAGGGUGCAAGCGUUAAUCGGAAUUACUGGGCGUAAAGCGUGCGCAGGCGGCUAUGCAAGACAGAUGUGAAAUCCCCGGGCUCAACCUGGGAACUGCAUUUGUGACUGCAUGGCUAGAGUACGGCAGAGGGGGAUGGAAUUCCGCGUGUAGCAGUGAAAUGCGUAGAUAUGCGGAGGAACACCGAUGGCGAAGGCGGCAUCCUGGACCGGCAUUGACGCUGAGGAGCGAAAGCUAGGGGAGCAAACGGG